rnacentral:rRNA from 1 species
GACGAACGCUGGCGGCGUGCUUAACACAUGCAAGUCGAACGGAAAGGCCCUGCUUUUGUGGGGUGCUCGAGUGGCGAACGGGUGAGUAACACGUGAGUAACCUGCCCUUGACUUUGGGAUAACUUCAGGAAACUGGGGCUAAUACCGGAUAGGAGCUCCUGCUGCAUGGUGGGGGUUGGAAAGUUUCGGCGGUUGGGGAUGGACUCGCGGCUUAUCAGCUUGUUGGUGGGGUAGUGGCUUACCAAGGCUUUGACGGGUAGCCGGCCUGAGAGGGUGACCGGCCACAUUGGGACUGAGAUACGGCCCAGACUCCUACGGGAGGCAGCAGUGGAGAAUAUUGCACAAUGGGCGGAAGCCUGAUGCAGCAACGCCGCGUGCGGGAUGACGGCCUUCGGGUUGUAAACCGCUUUCGCCUGUGACGAAGCGUGAGUGACGGUAAUGGGUAGAGAAGCACCGGCUAACUACGUG